CUAUGCGCCUUGCCAGCCCGCUCAGGUGUGCCAGCCGCCGCGGUAAUACGUAGGGAGCGAGCGUUGUCCGGAAUUACUGGGUGUAAAGGGAGCGUAGGCGGGGAUGCAAGUUGGGUGUCAAAACUACCGGCUCAACUGGUAGUCGCACUCAAAACUGCAGCUCUUGAGUGAAGUAGAGGCAGGCGGAAUUCCUAGUGUAGCGGUGAAAUGCGUAGAUAUUAGGAGGAACACCAGUGGCGAAGGCGGCCUGCUGGACGGAGACUGACGCUGAGGCUCGAAAGCGUGGGGAGCAAACAGG
rnacentral:rRNA from 1 species